rnacentral:lncRNA from 1 species
GAGAGCUAACAUCAGGGGCAUUAGCACAGAAACCAGUUAAGAAAUGGAAUUUUGAGGGUUAUUGAGACCGUUAAAAGUUGUCAGUUUGAGAACUUAGACCUCUUCACACAGAACAGUUCAUCUGAACGUCGGCGCGACGCUGUUUUAUAGUGCGGACUCGCACGUGCGCAGUGUCGUUGUAAUUUGUUAGCCUGACAAACGGACAUUAGCCGUUAGCCUUUAGCUUACAGCCUCGUUAGCUUGGCGGGACCUUGUGAGGCUGGAGGUUUGAGUUAUUGACCAUGUUGCAGAGCUGGAUGUUUCUCUGGUGACGGCGAAAGAUGUUUGCUGCUGACCGGGAGGACCGGACCUUUCUGCCACAAGGGGCCUGGACUGGGAGAGACCUUGAACGCCACGUGUGAGUCGGCUAAGGUACCCGUUUUAAAAGGUCAUUAAAGCAGGCCUGAACCAUGAUACAGGCCAGCAACAGAGGUUAAAUAUACAAUUGCCGCCUUUUAAUAAGGUCUUACGUGCAUUUUGUCAACAGUGUGGGCCCACAUUUUGAACUGUGAUAUGCCUAAACUGUGUUUUGAACAACAAACAUUCAAGUAAAAGUUUAAAAAUGUAUGUGUAUUUGUUUUAGUGUGUUAUUAAAGAGUUAAGACAGUUUUACAGACUUAUUUGUGGUUUAUUUGCGAACUGUUUGGAUGCAAAGGUACUUGAAUCUACAUAAAAGAUGCUAUUACUUACCUGACAAGUUUUAUUUUUCUUUUAACUCUGGGGUUUAAAGGUUUAAAGGUUUAUUUACACUUUCAAUUUGAUUUGAGAAGAGUUAAUGAGAUUUAAAACAGAUUUUAAGCCUGAAUGUACAAUUAUAGAGUUAAAAAAGUUAUUUUAAAUAUGUGUUUAAGAACCCAGGGCCCUACCCAGACUAGUAUAGGGAGCAGUAGCACUACAUGUACCUUAUGAAGCCAUAUUAACAUCACCAGUGUUAUUUGAUCACAGGCAGGGGAGACUCCACAUUUUAAAAAACCCAAGAUACAAACAGGACGUAUGUGUUUGACAUGUGGUUAAGGACUAUUGCUGCGUUCGAGUUACCUCGGAAGCCAGAAGUCCGAGCUGGGAAUGACGUCACACCCGAGUUAGCAGCGUUUCAGUUACCAAGUCAGAGAGAGCAAAAUCAGAGGCAGAAACAAGAUGGCUACAUCUAUGAAAGGUAUUUUAGGGCUUCCCUUGUCCGAAUAUAAACAAACAAUAUAAGCGAGGACAAGGCAAGCGCUAAAAUAACUUUUGUAGAUGUAGCCAUCUUGUUUCUGCCUCUAAUUUGCUUUCUUCUGACUUGGUACUGGUAACUCAGGUGUGACGUCACUCCUAGCUCGGACAUCUGACUUUUGAGGUAACUCGAACACAGCAUAUGUUUAAAAAAGCAAUCACAUUGCAUUAUGGGAAAUAUGAUCUGGGUGUUUUGAAGCUCGACACACACAGUACUUAAGGAAAACAUCUCGGUUGCUGCUGCAUGGGUUUCGACUGAUCUUUUCUUGAGUACUUCUUAGGUUGGCCACCCACUUGAUGACAAUUCACAGUUUUCAUAAUCCACACAGAUUUAUUAUGACCAAAAUUACCGGGCACAAUUUUAACAUUUGAGUUGGCUUGAUAAAUUCAGUUCACGCACUGAGAAACAUGAGAAAAAAACAAUAAUAAUGUCCGCUGUGGAUUGUACGAUGCCCUGAGAAUUUUCUUCUCAUUUUGUGUCUAACUGCUGUGUAGUUAAAAUGAAAAACGCUGUAAAGCAUCCACAGGAGGCUGUGGGUGCUUUGUUUUAACUGUAGUCUGGUCUUUCUCCAGUCUGGUGCCAAUAGCGUCCCCUGCCAUCUGGAAUCAGUUUUUCUGCAUAUGUGCUGUGUCUCUCCACAUACCCAACUCUCCACUCUUCAGUGUGUGGUGAUGUCCCAGAGCCUAUAACCAAAGUAGAAACAAGAAUAAUCAAUGUGCCGAAUGAGGGAAAAACCUAGAACAGAAGGGAGGCAACAAAAGUGACGAUACUUUUGACACUAGUAAGAUCGAACACAGCAGAAGUUCACCAGUUGUGCUUUCAUUUUCACAUCAUCAGAUCAUUACGCUGAAAGAGUCACCGUGAAUAAACUACCUG